ensembl:lncRNA
GAAGACACGACUAGAAAUCAUGUUUAUAUCACAUUUAUAAUGGGUCUUAUGUUUCUGUCUAGUCACUCUGGCCGGACAAGGCAUCACAAUAUGUUAAGAGGCGUAACAUUUCCUUCACACACUUGAGGCAUUCGGCCAAUCACAACGCACUGGAUAGCUGGCCAAUCACAGCACACCUCACUUUUCAGAGCGAUGAGCCUUGUGAAAAUUGAUGCGUGUGUAACCCAGGGUAAAUAUAAAUAGAAAAUAAUAGUAAAAAUAAUUAGUAAAAGUAAAAUAUAAAUAGUUAUUUUUAUUAAAAUAGUUAUUAUAAAAUGGCUAUUUUCCCCAGUCACCUGAACACAUCCUUCAUUCACAUUUUUGUGCAGGAGUCACAUGGUAGUCUCAGUGAAGGCUUAACCAAUCAUGGCACUUAAGAGCGUUUAUAAGCUGCGGUGAGUUUCCCCAAUCAGUAGGGUGAGGGGGAAGCCACCGGAGCAGCUGCACUCGGUAUGUCUCUACACAAACAAAGCUAUUUUUCGUUUGGUUUUCAUCUAAAAUGCUUGGUUAACUCUAGCAUGCGAUCCUGCACUUGUAGUGUUCACCAUCGUUGUCUUUAGAAGCCGACUGGUGCCGCUGUGCGUCGAAUAUCUGCGGGAAUUGGCCAGGUGCGGCCAGUUGCGGGCCAGUUGAUGGCGAGCCAUUAUUACUUGGAACAGAACCUGCCCCAACAACAUCAUCAGGCCCUGUGGGUUUGGUAGGAGGCUGUGCAGUCUGCUCAUCCCCUCCACUCGUAUACACAUACACACACACCCAGCCAUUCACUAAGUUCUGGCUUAUGGACUACUUGCGUCUCACGGACCAUUUGUGUUAUCAGGACGUGGUGUUCAUUUUUUAUGAACAACGAAUAUAGUCCUAUAGUGUGUUAUGAAUUGUCUUUGAUCUGAGUACUCUUUAAUUCCUGAGUUGUAUUUUGUUUUGUUUUCCUUGUGAAUUAUUGAAUUUCUCUGCAGAUUGGAAAUAUUUUGGGAUAUUGUUAUUGUUGUUUGUCUUUGUUUCACUUAAUACAUGGUACCAACACCAAAAUUAAAUGAUCUGUCUCCGUGUUAUUAUUUACUUUUUCAACACCUCCUUAAGAUGAACUUUAUCUUCCGUAGCCCAAUCAUUAUUUAACUUUUUAUAGCUAUAUCCAUCUGCUAUUUAACACAUGCACCUCGUGUGUAUGCUACACGUUUCAGAAUGUGGAGCAUAGAGGAGAAACAAUGAUGUAGAGUAUGUGGAAAAUAAUGUGUUUUUUAACCUUAAACCGCAUAAACAAAUUUUAUUACACCAAAUACACAAAAUAAUGUUCUUUUUAGCAGCAUCAUAUGACCGUUUUAAAGGAAAGUUUAUGGUUAAACUUGACUUCAUCCUAAAUUAAAAAAUAAAAAGAACUUUGUCUUUCUCUUUAUUUAUUUC